UGAUUAGGCUUAGGCCAAACCUACGCACCACGCGACUGCGAAGUGGGUGCAUCAAUACAAAACACACAUUUAACAACUUAAAACUUAAAUACUU